rnacentral:rRNA from 1 species
AGGACGAACGCUGGCGGCGUGCUUAACACAUGCAAGUCGAGCGAGGCCCUUCCUUCGGGAAGGUGCCCUAGCGGCGAACGGGUGAGUAACACGUGGGCAACCUGCACCUAGCACUGGGAUAAGCCCGGGAAAACCGGGUCUAAUACCGGAUAUGACCUUCGAGGGCAUCCUUGAAGGUGUAAAGGAUUCUGGCUAGGGAUGGGCCCGCGGCCUAUCAGCUUGUUGGUGGGGUAAUGGCCUACCAAGGCGACGACGGGUAGCCGGCCUGAGAGGGCGACCGGCCGACACUGGGACUGAGACACGGCCCAGACUCCUACGGGAGGCAGCAGUGGGGAAUCUUGCACAAUGGGCGAAAGCCUGAUGCAGCGACGCCGCGUGAGGGAUGACUGCCUUCGGGUUGUAAACCGUCUUUCAGCAGGGACGAAGCGAAGUGACGGUACCUGCAGAAGAAGCACCGGCCAACGUACGCGCCAGCAGCCGCGGUAA